AUGGCAGCAACGAUGACGGUCGAGGAGGUGAGGAAGGCGCAGCGGGCGGAGGGACCGGCCAUGGUGCUGGCGAUCGGCACGGCGACGCCGGCAAACUGCGUGUACCAGGCCGACUACUCGGACUACUACUUCAAGAUCACCAAGAGCGACCACAUGGCCGACCUCAAGGAGAAGUUCAAGAGGAUGUGUGACAAAUCGCAGAUCAGGAAGAGAUACAUGCACCUAACGGAAGAGAUCCUACAGGAAAACCCCAACAUGUGUGCCUACACGGCGCCUUCUCUGGACGCACGCCAGGACAUUGUGGUUGUGGAGGUUCCCAAACUCGGGAAGGCGGCGGCACAGAAGGCGAUCAAGGAGUGGGGCCAACCGCGGUCUAAGAUCACCCACCUUGUUUUCUGCACCACCUCCGGUGUGGACAUGCCAGGUGCUGACUACCAGCUAACCAAGAUGCUCGGUCUUCGCCCGUCCGUGAAGCGCCUCAUGAUGUAUCAGCAGGGCUGCUUUGCCGGCGGCACGGUGCUUCGCCUGGCCAAAGACCUCGCUGAGAACAACCGCGGCGCGCGCGUGCUGGUGGUCUGCUCGGAGAUCACCGCGGCGCGCGCGUGCUGGUGGUCUGCUCGGAGAUCACCGCGGUGA
rnacentral:rRNA from 1 species